CCUCGGUUCUAUUUUGUUGGUUUUCGGAACUUGAGGUAAUGAUUAAGAGGGACGGUCGGGGGCAUUCGUAUUUCGGUGUUAGAGGUGAAAUUCUUGGAUCGCUGAAAGACGAGCAAAUGCGAAAGCAUCUGCCAAGAACGUCUUCAUUAAUCAAGAACGAAAGUCAGAGGUUCGAAGACGAUCAGACACCGUCCUAGUUCUGACCAUAAACGAUGCCAACUAGCGAUCCGCAGUGGUUGCUAUUAACGGACUCUGCGAGCAGCUUCCGGGAAACCAAAGUGUUUGGGUUCCGGGGGAAGUAUGGUUGCAAAGCUGAAACUUAAAGGAAUUGACGGAAGGGCACCACCAGGAGUGGAGCCUGCGGCUUAAUUUGACUCAACACGGGGAAACUCACCAGGUCCAGA
rnacentral:rRNA from 1 species